UUACGAGGUCAGGACACUGUGAGGAUUGACAGAUUGAAAGCUCUUCCUUGAUUCAGUGGGUGGUGGUGCAUGGCCGUUCUUAGUUGGUGGAGUGAUUUGUCUGGUUAAUUCCGUUAACGAACGAGACCUUAACCUGCUAAAUAGUCACGCGAACCGGUCCGCAAGGGCUCAAAGUUCGCGGCUCGACUUCUUAGAGGGACUAUUCGCACCCGCCAGCGAAUGGAAGUUUGAGGCAAUAACAGGUCUGUGAUGCCCUUAGAUGUUCUCGGCCGCACGCGCGUUACACUGACGGAGUCAACGAGCGUUUUUCCUUGCCCGACAGGGCCGGGUAACCUCCUGAAACUCCGCCGUGAUGGGGAUGGAUCAUUGCAAUUAUUGAUCUUGAACGAGGAAUUCCUAGUAGGCGCGAGUCAUCAACUCGCGCCGAUUACGUCCCUGCCCUUUGUACACACCGCCCAUCGCUCCUACCGAUUGAACGGUCCGGCGAGAACUCCGGAUGGUC
rnacentral:rRNA from 1 species